rnacentral:rRNA from 1 species
GUGGGGAAUUUUGGACAAUGGGGGCAACCCUGAUCCAGCCAUCCCGCGUGUGCGAUGAAGGCCUUCGGGUUGUAAAGCACUUUUGGCAGGGAAGAAAAGUUUCGGGCUAAUACCCUGGAGCGAUGACGGUACCUGCAGAAUAAGCACCGGCUAACUACGUGCCAGCAGCCGCGGUAAUACGUAGGGUGCAAGCGUUAAUCGGAAUUACUGGGCGUAAAGCGUGCGCAGGCGGUUCGGAAAGAAAGAUGUGAAAUCCCAGGGCUUAACCUUGGAACUGCAUUUUUAACUGUCGAACUCGAGUAUGUCAGAGGGGGGUAGAAUUCCACGUGUAGCAGUGAAAUGCGUAGAGAUGUGGAGGAAUACCGAUGGCGAAGGCAGCCCCCUGGGAUAAUACUGACGCUCAUGCACGAAAGCGUGGGGAGCAAACAGGAUUAGAAACCCUUGUAGUCC